AGCCAGAUGGGAGUGAGCAUGG
rnacentral:misc_RNA from 1 species